rnacentral:rRNA from 1 species
UGAGGAAUAUUGGGCAAUGGGCACAAGCCUGACCCAGCCAUACCGCGUGAAGGAUGACGGUUCUAUGAAUUGUAAACUUCUUUUCUUGUGGACUAAACUUAACUACGUGUAGUUAAUUGAAGGUACUCAAGGAAUAAGCAUCGGCUAACUCCGUGCCAGCAGCCGCGGUAAUACGGAGGAUGCAGGCGUUAUCCGGAUUUACUAGGUUUAAAGGGUGCGUAGGCGGAUUUGUAAGUCAGUGGUGAAAUCCUAUAGCUUAACUGUAGAACUGCCAUUGAUACUGCGAACCUUGAGUAUAGUUGAGGUAGGCGGAAUGUGUAAUGUAGCGGUGAAAUGCUUAGAUAUUACACAGAACACCGAUUGCGAAGGCAGCUUACUAAACUAUAACUGACGCUGAGGCACGAAAGCGUGGGGAUCAAACAGG